rnacentral:rRNA from 1 species
AUUGAACGCUGGCGGCAGGCCUAACACAUGCAAGUCGAACGAGCGGAGGACGGGUGAGUAAUGUAUGGGAAACUGCCUGAUGUAGGGGGAUAACUACUGGAAACGGUAGCUAAUACCGCAUACCAUCAGAUGUGCCCAGAUGGGAUUAGCUAGUAGGUGGGGUAACGGCUCACCUAGGCGACGAUCCCUAGCUGGUCUGAGAGGCGGACCAGCCACACUGGAACGGAGACACGGUCCAGACUCCUACGGGAGGCAGCAGUGGGGAAUCUUCGGAAAUGGGCGAAAGGCUGAUGCAGCCAUGCCGCGUGUAUGAAGAAGGCUUUCGGAUUGUAAAGCACUUUCAGCGGGGAGGCGUUACCCAACGAAAAAGCACCGGCUAACUCCGUGCCAGCAGCCGCGGUAAUAC